AUGGCCACCUCCACCUCCACCUCCGGGGGAGGCGGGGCACGGCCGUGGCGUACCGCGCUUCUCACCCUCCGCGAUGAGUCAGUCGCCUCGCCCUCCCCUCCGGCUCUCCUCGCGCUCCUCCGCCGCCUCCUUCUGCCCCCCUCCUCGCCAUCCCUCGCGGCCUCCGCCGCCGCGCUCUCCCCUCACGAGGUGGGCUCGGAUGUGGCGUUCCUCGCGGAGAAGGCCGCGGCGGUGGCCCCCUGUGCUGGCGCCGCCGACGCGCUGCGUGGCGUCUGCCACCUGAUUCGUGAGGUCAUGUGCAAGACAAAUACGGAGAUUGACUCUUCUGGCUGGCUUGCAGUGUUAACGUUUCUUCAUGAGCUUGUGAAGUGUUCAGUUGAGGGUGCAUGCCUUAAGGGUCACUGUGAUAGGACAUCUGCACUGAAUACACUAUCUGAUUGUUUGCAAAUUCUCAGGUUUUUGAGCAAGGAUCUUGGAAGAGGUGGUUCAUUAACUGAGAAUUCACAUGUACUCAGAGUUCUUAUCUUGAUCAUAUCAUGCUUGCAAGCUGAACUGAACAUGACAGAUAAAUCCAAUGGUCCUGGCAUUUCCUCCCACAUUUCUGUAUCAACGAAUAAUAAAAAUUAUAAUACCUGGGAUAUGGAAAUCUCUGCAUUUUCGAUGAUGGAAGAUAUACUAUGCAAGAUUGCAUCGAGUAUGUCGGAAGUUUUAUGGCAGUCUGUUGUUGAGGUCUUGAGAAAAGUUAUGGACUCUGUGACAGCAAGGAACCUUAUUAUUGAGAGUAGCGUUAUGUCAAGAUUUUAUACUUCCUUUCUUCGUUGUCUGCAUUUCGUUCUUUCAGAACCGAAAGCUUCACUUUCAGGACAUGUAGCAGGUUUCGUGGCAAAUUUGCAAAUGUUUUUUGUGUAUGGGCUAAGGUCAUCUUCGCCAUCUGCAAUAAUUCCAAAGGAAAACAAAACAGACUCACAAUCCAGGGGUUCUGGCCGUGGACGAUAUAAACCACCUCAUUUACGAAAAAAGGAUGGAAAAACAAAUGAUUCAUUGGACGAUCGAAGUUCAGAUAGUGAAUCUUCUCGAUAUGAUUUAGGCUCUUCAGAUUCAGAUCUGAGCGAUACUGAUGGAUAUGCAAAAAGUGGAGACCGUUUCAGGAGUUCGAAAGCUAGACUAGCUGCCAUCCUUUGUAUACAGGAUAUUUGUCGUGCUGACCCAAAAUCACUUACUUCACUGUGGCCAUUACUUUUGCCUGAGAACGACGUUCUCCAACAAAGAAAAUAUCGAGCUACUCUGAUGACAUGCUUGAUUUUUGACCCUAUAACAAAGGUACGUGUUGAGGCAGCAUCGACGAUUGCUGCCAUGCUGGAAGGGCAGGCCUUAGUUUUGACACAAGUUGCAGAGUAUAAAGAAUCAUCGAAACUUGGAUCUUUCACUACGUUAUCUUGCUCGCUUGGUCAAAUUCUGAUGCAGCUGCACACAGGUAUGAUGUUCUUGGUACAGCGUGAAACUCAAACUACAUUGCUUGCAGCAGUGUUCAGAGUUCUCAUCCUUCUGAUAUCUGCUACACCGUACCCUCGAAUGCCGAAGGAGCUGUUGCCAACUGUCAUUACAGCCAUGUGCGGUAGAUUAUUAGACAGGAACUCAAAUAAAAAUGAACAUUAUGCUUUGCUGGUUAAUGUUCUAAGUUGCUUGGAGGCAGCAUUUGCAAAGGGGCCACCUUCUUCAGAUGUCUUUGGAGUUCUCAUUGAUCACUGUGCAGGGCCAUCACUUGCUCAGCAGAAGUCAAGUGUCGUAGUUAUUCUUCUUCAUUGUAUAGAAGAGGAAAUGCAUUUCAGUGUUAGGUGUGGAGCUCUCCAGGUGUUGAGAUCAGUGGUUCAUAAUUACCCAAGCUGUGCAAACAUCAUUUGGGAAAAAGUUCGAGAUAUCGUUCUUGAUUUAUUGCAAACGGAGAGCUUUGAAGACCAAAAAUGUGAUGCUAACUUUGGCCCCCCUAAAGAAGAAUUAUCUACUAAAGGAAGAUGUCUUGUAGCUGGUAUUAAGGUAAUUGAUGAGUGUCUGCGUGUUUCAUCUGGAUUCAAGGGUGCGGAUGAUCUCAAAGAGUGUAGAUUGCUGGAUAUUCAGCAAUUUUCAGACUGCACUGUAAAUAAAAGUAUUAAAUCUGCGCCUCACUUUGAAAUUGAAACCCCUGGACCAUCACAAAACUGCUCUUUGGACAUUACACUUGGAACCAACCGUUGGACUGAGGUGUUAGAAACUCAUCUCCCUCGGGGAUUAUCACAUGCCUCUGCUAUGGUCAGGACAGCAUCACUCACAUGUUUCGCGGGCAUGACCUCUGAUGUUUUCUUCUCCCUACCAGUAAACAAGAGAGAUUAUGUGACCUCCUCAUCUGUUCAUGCAGCAUUGAGUGAUGCAGUUGCUACAGUGAGGUCGGCUGCAUGUCGAGCCAUUGGUAUUGUUUCAUGUUUCUCCCAAAUAUUGUCGAGUCCUAGCCUACCUGGCGAGUUCAUAAAAGCCAUUGACUUCAAUACACAAAAUUCAUCAACUCCAGUCCGUAUCACUGCCUCGUGGGCUUUGGCCAAUCUUUGUUCUUCUAUUCGUUUCAGAGCAUUGGAACUACAAACAGAUCCGACUGCAGAUCUACUUGAUAAAUCAACAAUUUCAUUGCUGGUUGAAAUUGCUUUGCGCCUAACCAAAGAUGGCGAAAAAGUAAAGUCAAAUGCCGUUAGAGCCCUUGGAUAUCUGUCAAGAUUUAUCAGAUUCAAUCAUCAUUGUGAUGCAGUUGAUGAUUCAAGGAAUUCUGUUUUCUAUGGAGAUCCUGUCUGUCUUCAAACAAUAGUACAGGCUUUGAUGUCUUCUGUGACUACUGGAAAUGUAAAGGUUCAGUGGAAUGUUUGUCAUGCUCUUAGUAACUUAUUCAUGAAUGACACCGUGAGACUUUCAGAGAUGCAGUGGGCAUCAAGUGUUUAUAGCAUACUUCUACUAUUACUCCGUGACUCAAACAAUUAUAAAAUAAGGAUGCAUGCGGCUGUUGCUUUAGCAGUGCCAGUCACAAGGCUUGAUUAUGGUAGCUCCUUUCCAGAUGUUGUCAGAGGCCUCACACAUGUUCUUGAGUCAUUAAGUUCGAACAGUUCAUCAUCGCCUUCAAAUUUCAAACACCGGGACAACCUUGAGAAACAGCUUACGUUUACUGCUCUGCAUUUGCUUGGUUUUGUUUCACCGAAGGAUGACCAAAGCCUGAAAGAUUUUCUUAUCAAGGUUUCUACUCUAGCCCUGUGUAAUAUGCAUGCACUGAAGAAAUACCCCAUAAAGGCAUCCUUUCUGGAAGACUGGCUGAAGGGUUUAUGCUCAGCAUUCAAUAGUGCCGAGGACCAGCCUCUGGCAAGCGAGACCAUAAAUGACGAGGAUGGUUUCAGCCCAAAUGUGUCACAGAAAGUUAUGUUAUCUUCUGCUGUAGUGUCCUUGCUCAAUGUAUAUACAAGUGGAAACCAGCAAGUUAUUACUCAGAGAUUUGAGCAAUUGGCUAGAAGCACAGCGUGA
rnacentral:rRNA from 1 species